rnacentral:lncRNA from 14 species
GGGUGCUUAGAGCUAAACUAAAGGGUGGGGUAUGUGCUCACACCACAGACCUGGCCAACUGGUGGUGUUUCCUGGCACACCCAUCCCUCAGAUUGAGGCUCUUUGUGAUGGGGCAGGACACCUGCAAGGUGGGACUCUGAGAGGAAGCCCAAGGCUGUGUGUUUCCUGCUGGGGAGGAACAGCACAACUGUUUUGAGUCAGCUACAGGCAGGGAGUUGCCUUUCUUCUCCGUUCAAGGCACCAGCAGCUGCUGCUCUGCUGCUUACAGUGCUCAUGGUCUUGCUAGUGAAAUCUCACCAGCAACUCCAGCCCACAAUGAGAAGCACUUGCUGCUCUUCCAGAUGGGGACGUUGAACAACUUGCUGAUAGAAGAAAAGGUGAAGGACAGAAGCACUGGAGGAAAUCACAGUCUCCUGCUGCCAGCUUUCUGGAUGACUGGUGGCACAAGAGCCAGUUCCUUAAAGCCAUGGAAUUCAGUCUUGCUGCUGUGCCCUAACCAAGUCCCCAAGUUACAGAAAUGAACUAUUCAGCUAUAGAGGCAGAGGAACUGAAAAAGUGCUCAUGUGUAAAACCAUGUCACAAAAUUUCUCACAACUAGACAUAUGCAAAUAAAAAUGUGAACGAAUAAAAAAAACA